AUUGAGAUGGUCGAGUUGGUCUAAGGUGCCAUAUUAAUGUUCUGGUCCGAAAGGGUGUGGGUUCAAAUCCCACUCUCAACA
rnacentral:tRNA from 1 species